ACUCACUAUAGAGACCCUCCUGUAUCAGCCUCUCAAGUCCUGGGAUUGCAGGCGUGCGCCACCAUCAAGCCCACUUCUAACCAGACCCUUCUACAUCUGUGUUCUGCUGUGGGAACAAGUUACUGAAAGCACAUGUGUUGCCCUGAUUGCCGUCCGGAGCUCCAGUAUGGAGGAUUAGUGGCUGACCGGCCGCACCAAAGCUGCCUGGGAAAUCCCGGUCCUCGCGCCUGGAGGACUGAGACCUGGCCUCCCUGGUUAGCUCCUUGAGGCCACUUCUGUGCUUGCACGCAGCCACCUGCUCUCAGAAGCAGCAGUGGUUCAUCAAAUCCCUCUCGCUCAGGAUUCCUCUAACACCUUCCCAGCACACACGCAUACACAGCCAAAGAGUUGUGAAGCUGGGGUUCGAAUCCCUAUGCCCCAGGGCCCACGGGGAAGGGCCAGUCACCGCAGGUGUGGAUGAGCUGAUUCCUCAGCCUUUUUACCAACAGCCAAGGAAUGUGGGAAAGACGGAGUUUAUUCGGAUCAGAGUACAGAUCCAGAGGGAUGGCGCAGGUCUGCAAGGGGAGUGGGAACAAUUUAUUGAGAAAAAGCUUCUGUCUAAGAGAGGCAGAAGGGGGACAGCAAAGUACAUUGGCUGGGUCGGACACUGUCAAGGCCAACUGGCAAGGCCUUUCACUCGGGCCUCACAAAAGGCUCCUCAGACUCAGUUAACAUCAGUGCUGUGCCUCGCGACCGCCCUAGUGCCGGGCCAGGGCUGCGUCACCAGAGCAAUGCCGAGACCUAACCCUUUUGUCAACAAACCUGCCUCAAUCUUCUGACGGAGCCAGCGGUCACUAGUCGAACAGUACCUGAGGAGAGGGUUCAGGAGAGCAUGAUCUGCGGUGGAGCCCGGGGUAAGGAGCACCUCCGUCACCAGGGGGAGCGGUGGACACGCGUGAAGGACAGUCCUGGCUUUGCUUCUGUGUCCCCGAUGUGACAGUCUCGGCUCAGAAGUCAUGAGGCCAAGACUUUCCCCCACUUGUCUACUGGGUAAAGAGCCUGGCUGCGUGGACGGAGGAAACCGUUUUUUAUGCCUCGAUUUCCCCCUAUUUUUCUAUUCGUGUUUUCACCACAUGAAACAUUAAAUGUCCAAUACCAUGCUUUAAGUCUUA